UGGGGAAUAUUGGACAAUGGGGGCAACCCUGAUCCAGCAAUGCCGCGUGUGUGAAGAAGGUCUUCGGAUUGUAAAGCACUUUCGACGGGGACGAUGAUGACGGUACCCGUAGAAGAAGCCCCGGCUAACUUCGUGCCAGCAGCCGCGGUAAUACGAAGGGGGCUAGCGUUGCUCGGAAUGACUGGGCGUAAAGGGCGUGUAGGCGGUUUACACAGUCAGAUGUGAAAUCCCCGGGCUUAACCUGGGAGCUGCAUUUGAUACGUGUAGACUAGAGUGUGAGAGAGGGUUGUGGAAUUCCCAGUGUAGAGGUGAAAUUCGUAGAUAUUGGGAAGAACACCGGUGGCGAAGG
rnacentral:rRNA from 1 species